rnacentral:hammerhead_ribozyme from 1 species
AUCCAGCCAACGAGUCCCAAAUAGGACGAAACGCGCGUCAAACUGGAU